rnacentral:rRNA from 1 species
GAUGAACGCUGGCGGCGUGCCUAAUACAUGCAAGUCGAGCGAACAGACGAGGAGCUUGCUCCUCUGACGUUAGCGGCGGACGGGUGAGUAACACGUGGAUAACCUACCUAUAAGACUGGGAUAACUUCGGGAAACCGGAGCUAAUACCGGAUAAUAUAUUGAACCGCAUGGUUCAAUAGUGAAAGACGGUUUUGCUGUCACUUAUAGAUGGAUCCGCGCCGCAUUAGCUAGUUGGUAAGGUAACGGCUUACCAAGGCAACGAUGCGUAGCCGACCUGAGAGGGGGAUCGGCCACACUGGAACUGAGACACGGUCAAGACUCCUACGGGAGGCAGCAGUAGGGAAUCUUACGCAAUGGGCGAAAGCCUGACGGAGCAACGCCGCGUGAGUGAUGAAGGUCUUCGGAUCGUAAAACUCUGUUAUUAGGGAAGAACAAAUGUGUAAGUAACUAUGCACGUCUUGACGGUACCUAAUCAGAAAGCCACGGCUAACUACGUG